AGCGAACGCUGGCGGCAGGCUUAACACAUGCAAGUCGAACGGGCACCUUCGGGUGUCAGUGGCAGACGGGUGAGUAACACGUGGGAACGUGCCCUUUGGUUCGGAACAACUCCGGGAAACUGGAGCUAAUACCGGAUAAGCCCUUCGGGGGAAAGAUUUAUCGCCAAAGGAUCGGCCCGCGUCUGAUUAGCUAGUUGGUGAGGUAAUGGCUCACCAAGGCGACGAUCAGUAGCUGGUCUGAGAGGAUGAUCAGCCACACUGGGACUGAGACACGGCCCAGACACCUACGGGUGGCUG
rnacentral:rRNA from 1 species